UACGUAGGGACCAAGCGUUGUCCGGAAUCAUUGGGCGUAAAGCGCGCGUAGGUGGUCAUGUAAGUCCGCUGUGAAAAGUCAAAGGCUCAACCUUUGAAAGCCGGUGGAUACUGCAUGACUAGAGUACGGAAGAGGCGAGUGGAAUUCCUGGUGUAGCGGUGGAAUGCGCAGAUAUCAGGAGGAACACCAAUAGCGAAGGCAGCUCGCUGGGACGUUACUGACACUGAGGCGCGAAAGCGUGGGAGCGAACAGG
rnacentral:rRNA from 1 species